GCCAGCGUGGUGUAUUGGUUUGAAUAUUACACUACCACUCUAAAGACCAGGGUUCCAUUCCCAGCUUGGUCA